rnacentral:rRNA from 1 species
UACGGGGGGAGCAAGCGUUGUUCGGAUUUACUGGGCGUAAAGGGCGCGUAGGCGGCCACCGCAAGUCAAUUGUGAAAUCUCCGGGCUUAACUCGGAAAGGUCAACUGAUACUGCGGGGCUAGAGUGCAGAAGGGGCAACUGGAAUUCUCGGUGUAGCGGUGAAAUGCGUAGAUAUCGAGAGGAACACCUGCGGCGAAGGCGGGUUGCUGGGCUGACACUGACGCUGAGGCGCGAAAGCGUGGGGAGCGAACAGG